CCUACGGGGGGCUGCAGUGGGGAAUAUUGCACAAUGGGCGCAAGCCUGAUGCAGCAAUGCCGCGUGUGUGAAGAAGGCCUUCGGGUUGUAAAGCACUUUCAGCGGGGAGGAAGGCGGUGAGGUUAAUAACCUCAUCGAUUGACGUUACCCGCAGAAGAAGCACCGGCUAACUCCGUGCCAGCAGCCGCGGUAAUACGGAGGGUGCAAGCGUUAAUCGGAAUUACUGGGCGUAAAGCGCACGCAGGCGGUCUGUCAAGUCGGAUGUGAAAUCCCCGGGCUCAACCUGGGAACUGCAUUCGAAACUGGCAGGCUAGAGUCUUGUAGAGGGGGGUAGAAUUCCAGGUGUAGCGGUGAAAUGCGUAGAGAUCUGGAGGAAUACCGGUGGCGAAGGCGGCCCCCUGGACAAAGACUGACGCUCAGGUGCGAAAGCGUGGGGAGCAAACAGGAUUAGAUACCCCGGUAGUC
rnacentral:rRNA from 1 species